rnacentral:misc_RNA from 1 species
UCCCCGUUAUCCGGGGCAGUUUCGCUAGAGUGCUCGCCAUUACGCGUUAGCAACUAGAGAUAAGGGUUGCGCUCGUUGCAGGACUUAACCCAACAUCUCACGACACGAGCUGACGACAGCCAUGCAGCACCUUGCACUCCGUCUAGGUUUCCCUAAAAGGCCCCAUCUCUGGGGUUGUCAGAGGCAUUCUAGCCCUGGUAAGGUUCUUCGCGUUGCGUCGAAUUGAACCACAUGCUCCACCGCUUGUGCGGGUCCCCGUCAAUUCCUUUGAGUUUUAACCUUGCGGCCGUAGUCCCCAGGCGGGGUACUUAAUGCGUUAACUGCGGCACUCAGGGGGUCAAUACCCCGAACACCUAGUACCCAUCGUUUACAGCGUGGACUAC